rnacentral:rRNA from 1 species
GGAUGCGAUCAUACCAGCACUAAAGCACCGGAUCCCAUCAAAACUCUGUAGUUAAGCGUGCUUGGGCGAGAGUAGUACUAGGAUGGGUGACCUCCUGGGAAGUCCUCGUGUUGCAUUCC